UAAGGAGUACGUGACGAUUGCUGUGGACGGGUCUUUGUACAAGCAUCAUCCAAGAUUGGAGACCUGGAUUAAGCAAUACAUUUCAUUAUUAGCUCCUGAUCACAAGUUCAAGAUUAAUCACGCCGAAGACGGAAGUGGGAAAGGUGCGGCACUGGUGGCCGCGAUCGCGCAAAGGCUC